AGCCGGGAAAGGGUUAAAGGUGUAAUAGUUAGGACAUUGUUACCACUAAAAGUAUAGCUUGCAGGUAACGUAAGCGAGUGUAUGUUCUCAACCACUGUCAGAAAGUUUCUGUAAAAGUAUCCUUGCACAUCAUUAUGAAUGGAUUACCGAGUGGUGCAACUGACUGUGGUGCAACUGACUGUAAAGGAUGCUCAUCUAACCAAUCUACAACAGCGAAACAGUUUGUAAGGGAUGGAACAUCUUCCAUAGAUUGUGUAUGCAGAGCAAAGUAGUUAAUCUUAGCAGGCAGUACGAGUGAAUGCCCCUCGAAUUGUGAAUGUGCCUGUUGUAGGAAAAACACUUUUGGCCAUCACAAUUUGUUUGGAUCUAUACUCCUGCCCAUUGAUUGUGAUUGAGUCCAUUUUCUUGAAAGAUUGACAAAUAUCUAGGUGGGCAUCAAGUUUAUCUGGGAACAUAGUUUUGAUACAAAAGUAAAACAACUUCCAUUUCAGCAGGAUUAAAUCUCGAAAUAGUGUAUUUCUUCGAUAAAUAACAUUCAAGUCAUGCAUGAUGAACAACUGCACUGGAGAAUAUUUCAUUAAUUUCUGAAGUGUCUGGUUGACUUGUUACUAACUGAAAAUGAGAAUUGUCACUUACAAAACGCUGCAUAAACUGGAGCUCAAUGGAAAAGCACCAAAAACUUGAUAUUGGUCCAAACUCUCGAACGCAUUUUACCAAAUGUGCAUGCAUAUGAAUAUUUGGUGUUACACUCUAAGCACCAUGCUAUUAAAGUUCUUAAAGAUGUAGCUGAUGCCGUACCUCCAGCUAUAGGAUCUUCACCUGGAGGACAGUCAGUGACCCAAUCUGAGCCAGGCCAGUCAGAUGUACCCAUGCCUGGGUCACAAGCUGGUAGCGAAGGUUGACAUACCGUUUGUUAUUCACAGGUAGGAAGUCAGUCUAUGUACGAUUUUAGUCUUGUCCUUUUCGUGUAGCUUGGUCAAGAUUCGGUCAUGCCUAUCUGUCAAGCCAAAUAUGAGAGGAGCAGUAUCUAUUCGUGAUGAACAAAGAUCGUUAUUUAGUGGUUAACGUUCAUCUUCAAUAACCCAAACUCCUACAAGGAAACUCAGGAAAACAAUCACAUGGACUAAUAAGUUUGUAUGUUUGUCGGGCAACAAAGUUCCUGCAACUAGUACCUCAAAAAUGCGAUUGCUAUUAAGGACAUUGAUUGCACAGUUUAAAGAAGAAUUGACUAAGCACUUCCCCAAGCUUAAAGAUUGUGGGGGGUCCGAUGUAUUUCGAAUUCAAGGAACCUAGAGAGGCAAGUUGGUAAUGGCAGGCCCGACCAAGCCAAUUUCACUUAAAGCCUCCAGUAGUGUUGAUUUGAAGUCAGAUGAAGAAACAACCAAGGUUAAGGAAGUAUGUUUGAAGUGUGGGGAGAGUGCUCUGCGCAGUUAAGGCCUGGGUCAGGCACUGAUAAGAUUAAUUUUAUUCAUUGCCAACAUUUUAUGUAGAUCAUGUAGAUCAUGUAGUGUUAAUGAGAUUCAUAAUGUUUAUUAAUGUUAUUCAUUGCAUGUGACGUCAUAAGGUCAAUGUAUUUGCUUAGCUAGCUGCUAGAACUAUUAUAGAUUAUCUUUGGCAACAAAUACGGCGGACUUAAACAAGGUAAGAGUAGCUGUUUAGGCCCUCAAAAGAUAGAAUGUUGUUAUGAUUAUGUUUCCUUGAUGGGAAGUAAAAAUGUCCAAAACUUUCUUAGCUAUGCUAGCUUCUUUAGCUCUGACAGCCACUCUAGAGGUAGGCUAUUUUGUGUAUCUCAAGUAUACAAUAACUCCUACUCUUCCCAUCAAGGAUACUAGUACCUAGCUAUGAGAUGUUCAUCUAGCCUUGUUUUUGAAGCUUGAUCUUGGCAUCUUCAACGCCGUAUUUGCACUUCUCUUUCUGAAAGUGCCAUGACGUCAUCACCAUUUAUGGGACUAAUUAGCAUAAUUGAAUUAAGCUGAUUAGUUUUUUGGAAAAAUAAAACAUUGAGCUUCAUUUUGGAUCAUUUUGAUGCAGCAUACACUGUAUAUUGCAAAUAAUACAGCAGUAUGAACAUAGUGUAAAUUUUGGUGUUGAAAUCUGGACCCGGGCCUUAAGUGCGCAGAGUGGGGAGAGUGUUCUUUUGGACAGCUCAUGUACAGUUCUCUAGCUCGUCAGAAUCGAAUAUGCUGCGAGGUUGCCUAAACAAUUCAAUUCUUGAUGAUGACCAUCAUUCUAGGGACUAGGGACAGAAGAGGAUGUACAUGGCGCACUUUUAGCUACCACUACUUCCGUCACCCAGCAAACGUCGUCAACCUCUGGGACCUCCUUCGUCACCCAGCCACUAGCUCAAACGUUGUCAACCUCUGGGACCCCCUCCGUCACCCAGCCACUAGUUGAAACGUUGUCAACCUCUAGCAGUGGUGGUGCAAGUCUAGGCGAGUCUAGUGUAAGUCGCUUGACGAUCUUCUAACCAAUUUUGUUAGUGAAUAUCGGCAAAGCAGGUAUCAGUGUAAGUCACUUGACGAUCUGAAACUGUAUCGGCAAAGCAUAAAUAUUUUGUUGCUUCUGUUGCUUCUGGGCACAAUUACGAUGCUGCCUCCGUGUGUCUUGUGAAUAUCCUACUUUGCCUUCUUAUCUUGAACACCCAAAGGUUAAUAGAUUUUGACGAUUUGUGGAGCGAUAUGGUGGCACUGUACAAAGGGCGAAAUUAAUGACAAUACUCAGGUAAAAAUUACCAUUAAUGGUUCGCCGGCUAUUGAUGCUGCUGGAGGGGUGAGGCGUCAGGUGUAGUGUUUCAAGAUUUUGCAGACAACCGUGUCAUUAAGUUGUUGAAGGAUCUUCAGGCUUGCUAAAGAUACUUGGUUGCUAAAGAUACUUGGCAAGAUGGUGGCUCACAGAGGAAGGCAUCGGAUUUCCGUUUCUCUCACCAACGUGUUAUUGGUACAUGGUUGGAGGGGACAUGGUUGGAGGGGACAGUUUCCACACAAUAUUUUCCUGCUGAUACAGCUCUGCUCAUACAACAAGUAAACUUGCCUAUUGAUGUUGUAAAAUGUUGUAAAUGCAUUUUGUUUUUGUUUCGUGUGUACGGAUAAGUGUACGGAUAAGUGUGCCUCAGCAGCAAAUGCAUUUUGUUUUUUGUUUCGUGUACAUAUAAGUGUGCGUGUACGGAUAAGUGUGUACGGAUAAGUGUGAAGUGUGCCUGAUGCAGCAAAUGCAUUUUGUUUCGUGUUUCGUGUGUACAUAUAAGUGUGCCUCAUCUAGAGUGCAUUUUGUUUCGUGUGUACAGAUAAGUGUACAGAUAAGUGUGCCUCAUCUACAGUGUAAGUAAACUUGCCUAUUGAUGUUGUAGUUGUAGUGCCUUACAAGCAGGUGAAGGCUGCAACUAACGACCAAGAGCUCUGACCUAGCCACUGCAGCGCGCGCCCAAGCACUCACGGUGAAACAAUGUCAAAGCUUUAUGUAUGCUUUAUGUAUGCUUUAUGUAUGCUUUAUGUAUGGUCACAAAAUUUAAUUAUUGUAAUCUUUUUCAUUAGAUUUCUACAAGAGACGCAAUCACACACGAAGUGGUUGCCUAUGAUUCAAUUACUCGCAUAUCUAGAAUGCUCGAUCAAUUUACUGAUGGGCUGCAAAUAAUGGGCCUCCUUAAGUCCUUUCCCAACAUUUUUUUACCUCUCUUUGUUUACACUGGCAAUGUGUCUGCUGUGGAAGUUGCUGAAGCCAUAUUUGUCGACAGGGAUUCAUUUGCAUCAGUACAUUGGACAAAAAGGACUGAAUCAGUUUAUUUUACAUUGCACUAGUAGUGUUCGAAGUCCUCCCAAAAUCUAUACAUCUGGAUUUCAGCGACUCUGAUGCUGUUGCCUCUCACACUUGUGAUCAAUCAUUUAUUAUACCUACGGGCUUAGUAAAUAAUCAUGGACAACCCUACUUUUAAUGUGGUCUAGUAGUUCAUCUUCUUUAGAGUCAGUCUAUGUAGUAAAGACAGACUACAGACUACGAACCAAAGACACAUGGACAACCCCACUUAUAAUGUGGUCUAGUAGUUUCAGUCUAUGUAGUAAAGACAGACUACGAACAUUUCAA